rnacentral:rRNA from 1 species
UGACCUGCUAAAUAGCCAGGUUGACUUUUGUCGGCCGCCGGCUUCUUAGAGGGACUUUUGGCUCAAGCCAAUGGAAGUACGAGGCAAUAACAGGUCUGUGAUGCCCUUAGAUGUCCUGGGCCGCACGCGCGCUACACUGACAGAGCCAGCGAGUACAUCACCUUGGCCGAAAGGUCUGGGUAAUCUUGUUAAACUCUGUCGUGCUGGGGAUAGAGCAUUGCAAUUAUUGCUCUUCAACGAGGAAUGCCUAGUAAGCGCAUGUCAUCAGCAUGCGUUGAUUACGUCCCUGCCCUUUGUACACACCGCCCGUCGCU